AUUAUCUUAAUAUUCAACAUCUCUCUCAGCUCUCUCUCACCCAAAACCAUCCCACCCUCCAAAUUUUACAAUAAGGAAAUGUCCGAUGCGUAUUGCUCCGACUGCAAGCGCCAGACGGAGGUGGUGUUCGAUCACUCCGCCGGCGACACCGUCUGCUCCGAGUGCGGCCUGGUCCUCGAGUCCCAUUCCAUCGACGAGACGUCCGAGUGGCGAACCUUCGCCAACGAGUCCGGCGAUAACGACCCCGUCCGUGUCGGUGGCCCCACCAACCCGCUCUUGGCCGAUGGCGGAUUGUCCACCGUCAUCGCCAAGCCCAAUGGAGCUUCCGGCGAGUUCCUCUCUUCGUCUUUGGGCAGGUGGCAGAACCGCGGCUCCAAUCCGGAUCGGGGCUUGAUACUCGCCUUCAAAACCAUCGCUACCAUGUCCGAUAGGUUGGGCCUUGUUGCAACCAUCAAGGAUCGAGCUAAUGAGAUAUAUAAGAGGGUGGAAGAUCAAAAGUCUAGUAGAGGAAGAAAUCAGGAUGCAUUAUUGGCUGCUUGCCUAUACAUUGCUUGUCGACAAGAAGACAAGCCCCGCACUGUAAAGGAAAUUUGCUCCGUUGCCAAUGGAGCCACAAAGAAAGAAAUUGGCCGAGCAAAAGAAUACAUAGUGAAACAGCUGGGAUUGGAGAAGGGUCAGUCAGUGGAGAUGGGAACAAUACAUGCCGGGGACUUUAUGAGGCGUUUCUGUUCCAACCUUGGUAUGAAUAAUCAAGCGGUCAAAGCUGCUCAAGAAGCUGUGCAGAAGUCGGAAGAAUUUGAUAUAAGGAGGAGCCCUAUAUCAAUAGCAGCAGCUGUUAUAUAUAUUAUAACUCAACUUUCAGAUGAUAAGAAGCCUUUAAAAGAUAUCUCACUCGCUACUGGAGUAGCAGAAGGAACUAUCAGAAACUCAUACAAAGACCUUUAUCCUCAUGUAUCUAAGAUAAUACCCAACUGGUAUGCCAAGGAGGAGGAUCUGAAGAACCUUUGCAGCCCUUGAAAUGUUGGCAAGCGGAUUACUCGAGAAUUGAAUUGCAUUGGAGCGUUUUUCUUGGUUGUGCUAAACUCGGAUGUGAUACUUUCAGUUUUACCAAUAAUAGGACCGAGGCAAUUUUUGUCUUCUACUAAGUCUGGACUCUACCACUGUAACAAAAGUGCCCGGGCAUCUUUCUUCCUAAACCCCAAAUCUUUUGGGAAAAGAUAUUGCCAAGUAAUAAGAAGCUCACUGGUUGAGGCAGGGUUUAUAUCAGGUCACUUCUUCCUGACGUUACAGAGGUGACCAAAAAUACGAGGAAAAAUAAUUUCAGUGAGCACCGUCGACUUUGGUGAACAAUCCCACCGUAAGCUUACUAAAUUUCAAUUAUUAUUUUUUCUUCUUCUUUUGAUAGGAUGAAUAUAAAAUUGAGGGACUUAAAACUCCCAAUGAAUUGUCUCA